GAUGAACGCUGGCGGCGUGCCUAAUACAUGCAAGUCGAGCGAAUGGAUUGAGAGCUUGCUCUUAUGAAGUUAGCGGCGGACGGGUGAGUAACACGUGGGUAACCUGCCCAUAAGACUGGGAUAACUCCGGGAAACCGGGGCUAAUACCGGAUAACAUUUUGAACCGCAUGGUUCGAAAUUGAAAGGCGGCUUCGGCUGUCACUUAUGGAUGGACCCGCAUCGCAUUAGCUAGUUGGUGAGGUAACGGCUCACCAAGGCAACGAUGCGUAGCCGACCUGAGAGGGUGAUCGGCCACACUGGGACUGAGACACGGCCCAGGCUCCUACGGGAGGCAGCAGUAGGGAAUCUUCCGCAAUGGACGAAAGUCUGACGGAGCAACGCCGCGUGAGUGAUGAAGGCUUUCGGGUCGUAAAACUCUGUUGUUAGGGAAGAACAAGUGCUAGUUGAAUAAGCUAGCACCUUGACGGUACCUAACCAGAAAGCCACGGCUAACUACGUGCCAGCCGCCGCCGUAA
rnacentral:rRNA from 1 species